AGUCCACAUCGACGGGGAUGGCCCCGUGUCGGCUCAUCCCAUCCUGGGGCUGUAGUAGGUCCCAAGGGUUGGGCUGUUCGCCCAUUAAAGUGCUACGCGAGCUGGGUUCAGAACGUCGUGAGACAGUUCGGUCCCUAUCCGUCGCCGGCGUAGGAAAUUUGCGAAGACCUGUCCUUAGUACGAGAGGACCGGGAUGGACGUACCUCUGGUGUACCAGUUGUCCUGCCAAGGGCAUGGCUGGGUAGCUAUGUACGGAAUGGAUAAGCGCUGAAAGCAUCUAAGCGCGAAGCCAACUUCAAGAUAAGAUUUCCCACCG
rnacentral:rRNA from 1 species